rnacentral:tRNA from 1 species
GCGUUCCAGCACGCGGGACGUGUCGCAGGCCUUCCAAGCCUCGCUGAGCAGGGUUCGAUUCCCUCGGGACGCUCCA